AACGACACAUUUUCUUUGUUUAAAGUUCUUUCAUUGUCCUCAGAGUUAUAUACUCUUCUGAUUAUCAGUGUCUCCUCUUCUUACAUUGUCCAGUCGCCACCUUGGCUCUAAGAUUAUUCGCCAUUCUCUGGCCCUCCACGUGAUAAUCUGUCCAGCAGUCUGAUUUUGGGUCUGAUUGUGUCUAUCUGACUCUUUGCAAUCCUUGCGAGUCACUCUCUUCUCAAUUUUGUGUGUGCAAUCCCAGAAGCCACACGUUGUCUCUGAAUACAAUAUUCAUUCAUCCAUCAGCCUACAGUCAGGCUACGAGAAAUUUAAUUCAAGGGUUCC